rnacentral:rRNA from 1 species
GUCUACAGCCAUAUCACCCUGAAUGUGCCCAAUCUCGUCUAAUCUCGGAAGCUAAGCAGGGUCGGGCCUGAUUUGUCCUUGAAUGGGAGAAAUACCAUCACAGAAAUAUAGAUAUGGUGCUUACA